rnacentral:lncRNA from 1 species
GUUUUCCUGCCCAAAUGUUGCAUUUCCCAAGACCACCCUGGCCUACCAUGACCCCAUCCUGUGCCUAUAAAAACCCCCGAGAGCCUAGCGGGGAGACACACAGGCAGCUGAAGUCAAGAGGAGCACAUCAGCGGAGGAACACACGGGCAGCUGGAUGUUGAAAGGAACACACUGACAGGCACCAGCAUCCCAGCAGGCCACCAACUGGCAGAAUGACGGCAGAGUUUGCCUGGGGAAGUUGGAGGAGAGCUCUGGGGAAAACCAUCCCCGGAGAGACUCCAGGGGACAAUCCAUCUCCCUUAUGGCUCCUCCAUCUGCUCAGAGCUCUUCCUCCAGUGACACUUCUCAGUGAAACCCAAGUGAUUCUCCAAGCCCAUGUGUGAUCCAAUUCUUCCGGUACACAAAGGCAAGAACCCCAGGAUACAGAAAGCCCUCUGUCCAUGUGAUAAGGCAGGGGUCUAACUGAGCUGACUAACACAGCCACCUAUGGACCCUAACAGAGUCUACUGUAACACAUGCCCACUGGGGUUUCAGUUGUGAACACUCAAGCCCUAGACGUUGUCGUGGAGUCAGAGCCCCACAGCCUGCCCGUCUGUAUGCUCCCCUAGAGGCUGGAGCAGCAAGGCACUGAAGAAGCGAGUCAUAUCCCAUCAUAUGCCCUGCGAGGAGGACAAGGAAACUUCCCAUUACAACUGGGGAUCGUCUGGGAUCGCAGAAGAAUGUGCAACCAGUUCUCUUCACCAUCCCCAGCUUAUACUCCUCUAAAGUGUAUCCUGAACAAUUGGGACUGCUUUGAUCCUCAGAAUCUGGAGGAAAAUGGCCUCAUAGCCCUCUGCACAAAGGUUUGGCCAAAUUAUGAUUUACAGGAAGGACUGGCUUGGGCUCAGGAAGGAACCAUUCACUACAAUGGCAUUCAACAAUUAGAACUCUUCUGUAGAUGUGAGGAUAGACAGUUCUGAGGCCGAUAUGUACAGGUUUCUAUACCUUGCAAGGCAAUACAGACCUUUGCCAACAAUGUAGGAUUGAUCUAGCCCUCCUGUUUGCCAUCUCAGGAAAGGCUGAAAGGGGCAAGCCCAGGGAAUUAAUUAAAGAUACUAGUCCCAGAGGCACUCCCAGCAGAGGAGCCAGCUCCCUCAAGCCCUGCUCCUCCGGGUCCACCCCAACCUCCCUAUCCAGCCUCAGCCUCUCACUUGCCCCCUCAUAGAAAUCCCAAAUUAUGAUUUACAGGAAGGACUGGCUUGGCCUCAGGAAGGAACCAUUCAUUACAAUACCAUCCAGCAAUUGAAACAUUUCUAUAGAUGUGAGGAUAGACGGUUCUGAGGCCCAUGUGAGCAGGCUGUCUAUACCUUGCAAGGCAAUCCAGGCCUUUGGCCAACAAUAUAGGAUUGAUCCAGACCUCCUGCUUGCCAUCUCAGGAAAGGCUGCAAGGGGCAAGCCCAGGCAAUUAAAGAUACAAGUCCCAGAGGCACUCCCAGCAAAGGAGCCAGCUCCCUCAAGUCCUGCUCCUCUGGGUCCACCCCGACCUCCCUAUCCAGCUUCAGCCUCUCACUUGCCCCCUCCAAGAAAUCCUCACCCUAAACAAGCCC